UUACCUAAUCGUAACGGGACUUACGACUCUCGUUGACGUGCUUUCUCGCGAUCGCGUCUCUCCGCGAAUGGUCCAAUAAACACUAAUGUUCAUUAGUACUUAGCUAAGAAUUCAAUCGUAAUUCGACCGUGCCAGUUUGUACUUUCAGGAAGAAAACAACCUUAUUGACCGGGCAGUUCUAUGCAACUGUUUAUAAAUCGCACAUUAAGCGAACUUGUUUACGAGUUAAAAUCCAAAGGUUUCAGUUGUAAGAACUAUAAGAAAAUAUCUCAUGAAUUAUGAUCACAUUGAUAUAGGUAUUGAGAAACGCUAAGUUAGUAUGAUCGCUAGUUCCUACAAGCUAAGUUGGCACGACUUCUAACGACGCUCUUUUGUCUUAGGAGUCGACCACGUGUUAAUUAACUAAGUGUAUCCAGUGUGUUCAGACGCUUUGCACAAGGUGGUGAAAUAUAGAAAGUAAAACUUGAAUCUGUGUGAAUCAAUCAAGUAUCAACCCCAAACGGGGUAUUAUAUGUAUAAAACGAAGCAAAAAUGAAACAUAUUCUUUUCAUUUGUAAUUUUAAAUAACGAAUAGACAAGAUAACGCAUAAAUGGAAUUUAUCAUCUUCUUUAAAUGGUAUAGUGCAUUCCAUAAUUAAAAUGGAAUUUAUCACCUUCUUUAAAUGGUAUAGUGCAUUCCAUAAUUAAAAGCGAAUAAAAAAACGAACUUACCAAAGAACCAUGGGAAAGAAUUUAUAAAGUUUUAUCUUACUCAGGAGUCAGUUUGCCUGAAUAUCACAAAAUCCAUUCACGUUAAAUUUCUGGCAACGAGAACUCUUGAAAUAAUUUCUUAAAAAAUGAAUUUUAACAGACUUUUCUUCAAUUUUUUAAAUUGUAACAGAAACAUUGUAACAAGGGAAAGAUAGUGUGUGCAAAAAUGCGUGAAAGGGCAUUUAGAAAAAUCGAAAUAGUUGGAAAUAUAAUUAAAAAGUGAAGAGGAAAUAUCGUGGCUUUCAUGCCAGGAGCAUAAAUGUGAAAAUUUUCAGCUUUUAUGACAAAUUCUACUUCUUUUUCUUUUUUUUGUUUAAAUUGAGCUUCACUUGAAUAUGGCAUGAAAAGUAAGGUUUGAAAGAAAAUUUCAGAUACAUUGAUUUCCGGAGUUAUUUAAUUGCUUUUCACGUUUACUUGUGAAUUUCCACAGUUGAUCAAAUUGCAAAAUUCAUACCAUUGGUAUUAUGCAAACAAUAUAGAGUGUAAUAAAAGGAAAAUAAGAAAAUACAAAUUCUGACAGUGAAUUUAGUAAAAAGUCAAGAAAAAGUAAGGCAGAUGUUAGGAAACCAUAGCAAAAUAAAAGAAGCUUAAGAAGGCAACGGUAACCAUAAUAAUAAGAAAGAAACACAGGAGAAAGGUCACUAAAAUAAAUUACAAAGUGUAAAGUGGCAAUAGGAGACAACAAGAAAUAAACAACAAGUACGAGCAAAGAAAAUACAGUAAAUACAAUAAAUACAGUAAAUUCAAUAAAGAAAUGAAGGCAUAAUCUUAAAUUAAACCUUAAAUCCUACAGAAAGUACAUAUAAUGUUGAAGGGAAUGGGGAAUAUGGAAGACGAAUUAAAGAAGGUAAGAAAAAUUUAAGAUUAAUUAAGAGAGAUUUUAUAUUAUAGUAGAGAAAUAUCAGAAUAUAGAAAAAGAUAAGAGAAAAGAAAGGGACAUGAGCAGAAGAACAGAGCAAACUGAACAGAAGAGAGAAGCAAACUCACAAAAAGAAGUGAGGUACUAGAAGAGUCAGACAAAAUUGAAAGAAGAAAAAAGGGUAAAACUGUUGUUAUAAAAAGAUUGUAAAUAAGAGGUAAAGUAGAAGGACACAAAAUGAUCUCGAACAUAAAUAGGUUAAACUUUGUUUCAGGGCAUCGCUCAUUCUGGUCAUUAUUUGUAUCUUCUAAUGUUAUUUCAUGAAUAUGAAGAUGAACA